ACGGAAGGCAGCAGUGGGGAAUAUUGCACAAUGGGGGAAACCCUGAUGCAGCAACGCCGCGUGAAGGAUGAAGGCCUUUGGGUCGUAAACUUCUGUCCUUGGGGAAGAUAAUGACGGUACCCUUGGAGGAAGCCCCGGCUCACUACGUGCCAGCAGCCGCGGUAAUACGUAGGGGGCAAGCGUUAUCCGGAAUUAUUGGGCGUAAAGAGUACGUAGGCGGUUUCCUAAGCGGAGGGUCUAAGGCAAGGGCUCAACCAUUGGUCGCCCUGUGAACUGGGAGACUUGAGUGCAGGAGGGGAAAGCGGAAUUCCUAGUGUAGCGGUGAAAUGCGUAGAUAUUAGGAGGAACACCAGUGGCGAAGGCGGCUUUCUGGACUGUAACUGACGCUGAGGUACGAAAGUGUGGGGAGCAAACAGGAUUAGAUACCCUGGUA
rnacentral:rRNA from 1 species